rnacentral:rRNA from 1 species
AGUGAACGCUGGCGGUAUGCCUAACACAUGCAAGUCGAACGGCAGCACAGUAAGAGCUUGCUCUUACGGGUGGCGAGUGGCGUACGGGUGAGGAAUACAUCGGAAUCUACUUGUUCGUGGGGGGUAACGUAGGGAAACUUACGCUAAUACCGCAUACGACCUACGGGUGAAAGCAGGGGAUCUUCUGACCUUGCGCGAUUGAAUGAGCCGAUGUCGGAUUAGCUAGUUGGCGGGGUAAAGGCCCACCAAGGCGACGAUCCGUAGCUGGUCUGAGAGGAUGAUCAGCCACACUGGAACUGAGACACGGUCCAGACUCCUACGGGAGGCAGCAGUGGGGAAUAUUGGACAAUGGGCGCAAGCCUGAUCCAGCCAUACCGCGUGGGUGAAGAAGGCCUUCGGGUUGUAAAGCCCUUUUGUUGGGAAAGAAAAGCAGCAGGUUAAUACCCCGCUGUUCUGACGGUACCCAAAGAAUAAGCACCGGCUAACUUCGUG